ACUAGCAACCCCAACUGAUAAGCCUACAGCUUAAGAAAUUAGCGUAAAAAUCGAUAGUGUGUUCAUAAAAUUGAUUGUAAAACAAUAAAUUUUAAUAUUGACCAUUAUAAAAGUUAUAUGAAAUAAAUCAGUGAUAAAUUGUCUUCAAAAUGAUAUAAAAUUCAUUAUUCAUGCAUAAUAUGCAUUUUAAUCAUUAUCAGUUAAUCUUAAUAUACAGGUGUAUUUUCGGCCGAUUUCACAAAACCCGAUUGUGGACACGCGCUUGUCACAUGUAUGCCGCAUGACCUUAUUUGCGGGUCAUUUGUUGCUUAUUAAUAUUCAUGAUUUUUUGCAACCAAUCAGAAAUAUGUUUACAUUUCACCGCGGAAUUUUCGUCAUUUAAAUAUGUUUACAAACAAAAAAGUUAUGACGCCCGAUACUCGCCGACGAUUUGCUUGAAAACUAUCGGUGCAUGACCGACCUGACAAAAAAAAAUAUCAUGAAAUAAUAUUGAUGAUGACAAUAUUUGACAACACUUGGAUCAUUUGGACAAAUAUAAGAUGACAAACCAAUGCUGUUAAUGAAUAAAUCUUGUCAUAUAGUAGUAUACAUUACCAAACACAACAAGAACUGUCCCAAAAUUAUUAAUGGGGAUGCUGAGAUGUCUGCUUUAUAUUCAUUGAAAUCCCAAAUCAGCUAUGUUAAGAAAUGGAGUCGACUAAUUUCAAAGAUAAUGGUUAAAGAUGAAACUCCUUUAAAAAACAUCUGGAAAAGGGGAGAAGCAGAUCCUUCAAUAGCAUUUAAAAAGUAUAUGAUACCAACUGGCAUUUAUCUGCAAAAUAUAUGAUAACAGUAUACAUUACCAAUCAUUGCAAGAACUGCCCCAAAAUUGUAAUGUGGAAGUAUGUUUAAUUGCCGAGAUGUAUGCUUAUUCAUUGAAAUCCGAUGAAAUGAAGUCAACUAAUUUCAAAGAAAAUGGUUAAAGAUGAAGAAGACUCCUUUUAAAACAAAUCUGGAAAAUGGGAGAAGCAGAUCCUUAUAAAUAACAUUAAUUAAUUUAAACAAUUAUGUCCUACUGACUGGCAUUUAUCGGCAAAAUAAAUCAUAUUGAUAUUAUAGAGCUCUUGACAAAGACAACUGAUAUCCAGGUGCAUCAAUUUAUGUUAGCAAUGAAAAACAUUCUUAAUUUUGAUCUCAAUUAAUAGCAAAUCAAAUCAAUUUCAUUUCUUUUGGUCUAGUGAGGAAUUUCGGGCUGUUUGACUUAUGUUCAAUUUAGAAUAUACUGCUAUAAUUCGAGACUGCGGGAGUUCUGGAAGAAGAGAGUUAUUUACUAACUGCAAAAGAAGUGAAUAAUUAUUUUUUGAGAAGAGAAAAAAAAAGAUAAAAGCAUGACAUUGCAGAUGCUGUAGAGCAAUUUGAUAUUCAUUCAUGUUGGAUUUCAUUAUACAGUGCUGCUGUAGUUUCUUGUUACUUUAUAUAUGUCGAUAAAUGAAAAAUGAAUAAAUUUUUUCAAAAAAUUUAUCGAUACCUUGCCCACUGUAUUAGACUAAGUAAUUGCUCUUCUACAUUUAAUGGUCUGUAAAAUAACACAGUUAUAUUCAGUAACACCUAAUCUACCUAUAUUCCAAAUUUCAUCAAAAUAUCUCAAAUAAUAAAAAAGUUAUGGUAUUUUAAAUGUGAAAUUUGUCAUAAACGAAGUCAUUUCGGUUCCGUCAACGCGCAAGCAUUUCUUAUUGACUGUAUAUAGUAAAAAUUCUUAAAAAAUGCGCAAAUUUCAACAUUAUUAAAUGCCAUAACUUUUUUAUUUUUAAAGAUAUUUAGAAAAGGAAAACUGUUCUGAAAUGCUUAUAAUGAGCACUAUAAGAUGAAAUAAAUUGUUUAUAAAUACAAUAAAAUAAAAAAAUUGG